ACGACGUCAAGUCAUCAUGGCCCUUAUGUCCUGGGCUACACACGUGCUACAAUGGCCGGUACAGAGAGCAGCGAAGCCGCGAGGCGAAGCGAAUCCCAAAAAGCCGGUCUCAGUACGGAUUGGAGUCUGAAACCCGACUCCAUGAAGCUGGAAUCGCUAGUAAUCGCGCAUCAGCAUGGCGCGGUGAAUACGUUCCCGGGCCUUGUACACACCGGCCGUGGGGCCGGGGCGGCGGGCCGGGCGC
rnacentral:rRNA from 1 species